AUUAAUUACUUACAUUCAUUAGCUUCAUUUAAGAGGAAACUACUCGCCGGAGGGCAAUCAUGCACUUAACCUAAAGUAAUUAGUAAACUUUAUGAGUUAAUGUGUACGGUUCAUAGUACGGCUAGCGAACAGAUUACAUCUC